CUCAGACUCCCGGGGUCUCUUUCUGUACCCGCCCAGCUGGGUCAGACCAAUGGGCCCUCCAAGUGGAGGAUUUAUCUCUUAUCCCCCUCCUAGUGGAUUUAUCUCUUGCUCCCAUUGAAAUUGAAGUCCUGUUUCAAAAAUGCAAUUGAUUUCUCAAGAAAAACGUGCCACAAAGCCAUUUUUUUUGUCCUUUGUUUCUCAAAUUUCCAUUCCUGUUUAUUUCUUUUGCUGCAACAAUAAUGAAUGUCACAUAAAUAACAAUGGGAAAGGGGAAUAAAUGGAAUGUGACUGAAAAUGCUUAGUUUUGAUAUUUGGGCAGGAGCUGGUCAGUGUUCAAAAUGUUCAGGCCACAGCAAUAUGAGCACAGCUACAGGAAAAUCCAGGAACUGCUGAGUUCAGUCCAGGGACACCUUCCACUAUUCCAGGGUGCCCCAAGCCCCAUCCAGCCUGGCCUUGGACACUUCCAGGGAUGGAGCAGCCACGGUUUCUCUGGGUUUGUGGGCACAGGAGGAAAGUUCCAGCAGGAGCUGAGGAUUCCCUUUGCUCUGUCCAGCCCCAGCAGGGCUGUGGGAGCAGAGGAUGUGGGAGCAGGAGCUUUGCCCACUGCCUCGGGGGAGUCUGUGCUGUCCCAGCCCCCAGAGCAAACGUUUGUGGUUUAACAUCCCGUUCCAAGGAGAUGCCCGGCCGGGAACGGGAAUGGGCCGCGGAGCAGGGACGGUGCCGGGCAGAGGGGUGACAUCCAGAGGGUGCCACCAGUCCGUCCCUGCUGCCCGGGCUGGGGAUGAGCAGGCUGGUGACUGUCCCUGUGCUUGCUCUGCAGGAUGAGGAAGGCAGCCCUGCCGAGGAGGAAGAUGAGGAGGUGUGGGAGGAUGGAGAGAGCGGCCACCAAAGGCUGGGGACGGCUCAAGUCCAGAGAAAAGCUGCCAAGGAAUAAAGCAAGAGCUUUCCCCAGUGAAAACCUGCCCAGUCCCAUGCUGGGUUUCCACACAGACAAGGUUCAAUCCCUGCUGGAAUCCCAGUCACAGCCUCCAGAUCAAUGUGCAGUUUAAGGUCUCACAGCCUGACCAGGACAAUCUCUUGCCUCUGGACAUGGAAAAUCAAUUUUUCGUUGUUACAGCACCAGCUCCAGGAUCCUCUGAGGCUGAAACAAAGACAAGGAACCUUCUGAGAUGGAAAGAUCCAGAGCAACUUGUUGUGGGAAAAGAAAAUGAAAGAUGGAUGUGACAUGAAUUGGCUCCAGCAGGGCCCAAGAUCACUCUGGGGUCUGUGGCAGGGACAGCUCCCAGAGCCAGACAGGGAAGGGGACCUUCACCCACACUCCCAAAAAGCUGAGAAGGAAAAACACCUGCCUGCAGCUGGCUGCAGCUCCUGGAUUUCUGGGGUUUCUGGCACACUCAGGGACAUGGGGUAAUGCCAAAAUCAUUCAAACCUUGGGAAUAAUGGAAUUAAUACCACCCCUUGAGCUCCUGCCCAUCAGCCACUGGCUGCAGAUGGCUUGGAAGUGAUGGAGGCAUUCAGGGAAUGCUGAUUGUUUUUCCCUUGCUUUGGCAGUCUGGUCAGCAAAAAUGCUAAUUGAGCUCUUCCAGCAGGGAAGCAUUUAAGCAAGAGGUGCUGAAAGGAAUUGGAGUUUCUGAUUUUGAGUCUCCGACUUCAAAUCCCGCUGGAUUGUCACCAGUCCAACUUGCAUGGACUGGUCACCGUGGCCAGGAGUGUCCAGUCCUGCUGGAAUGCACUGGAGCAGGAUGUCAUUUUCAUUUAGUGCUGGUAAAGACCCUCUGGGUGACCCCCAGGGACUGGAAGGACCAGACUGGGCUCCCAGGGCACUAAUUCCAGGGGUUCUGUUUUUGGGAAUAGCACAGGAGCCGUUCCCUUGCCCAGAGGAGCAGCCAGUGC